rnacentral:rRNA from 1 species
UACGGGGGGAGCAAGCGUUGUUCGGAUUUACUGGCCGUAAAGGGCGCGUAGGCGGUCAGCACAAGUCAGUUGUGAAAUCUCCGGGCUUAACUCGGAAAGGUCAACUGAUACUGUGCGACUAGAGUGCAGAAGGGGCAACUGGAAUUCUCGGUGUAGCGGUGAAAUGCGUAGAUAUCGAGAGGAACACCUGCGGCGAAGGCGGGUUGCUGGGCUGACACUGACGCUGAUGCGCGAAAGCCAGGGGAGCGAACGGG